AUUGAACGCUGGCGGCAUGCCUUACACAUGCAAGUCGAACGGUAACAGGUCUUCGGAUGCUGACGAGUGGCGAACGGGUGAGUAAUACAUCGGAACGUGCCUAGUAGUGGGGGAUAACUACUCGAAAGAGUGGCUAAUACCGCAUGAGAUCUACGGAUGAAAGCAGGGGAUCGCAAGACCUUGUGCUACUAGAGCGGCCGAUGGCAGAUUAGGUAGUUGGUGGGAUAAAAGCUUACCAAGCCGACGAUCUGUAGCUGGUCUGAGAGGACGAUCAGCCACACUGGGACUAAGACACGGCCCAGACUCCUACGGGAGGCAGCAGUGGGGAAUUUUGGACAAUGGGCGCAAGCCUGAUCCAGCAAUGCCGCGUGCAGGAUGAAGGCCUUCGGGUUGUAACUGCUUUUGUACGGAACGAAAAGCCCUGGGUUAAUACCCUGGGGUCAUGACGGUACCGUAAGAAUAAGCACCGGCUAACUUCGUGCCAGCCGCCGCCGUAA
rnacentral:rRNA from 1 species